rnacentral:rRNA from 1 species
UACAGAGGGUGCAAGCGUUAAUCGGAUUUACUGGGCGUAAAGCGUGUGUAGGUGGCUCGCUAAGUCGGUUGUGAAAUCCCCGGGCCUAACCUGGGAACUGCAUUUGUGACUGCAUGGCUAGAGUUUGUCAGAGGGGGGUGGAAUUCCACGUGUAGCAGUGAAAUGCGUAGAUAUGUGGAGGAACACCGAUGGCGAAGGCAGCCCCCUGGGAUGUGACUGACGCUCAUGUACGAAAGCGUGGGGAGCAAACAGG